rnacentral:rRNA from 1 species
AGAUUGAACGCUGGCGGCAUGCCUUACACAUGCAAGUCGAACGGUAGAGUAGCAAUACUCGAGAGUGGCGAACGGGUGAGUAAUAUAUCGGAACGUGCCCAGUCGUGGGGGAUAACGUAGAGAAAUUUACGCUAAUACCGCAUACGAUCUACGGAUGAAAGCGGGGGAUUCACAAGAACCUCGCGCGAUUGGAGCGGCUGAUAUCAGAUUAGGUUGUUGGUGAGGUAAAAGCUCACCAAGCCGACGAUCUGUAGCUGGUUUGAGAGAACGACCAGCCACACUGGGACUGAGACACGGCCCAGACUCCUACGGGAGGCAGCAGUGGGGAAUUUUGGACAAUGGGCGAAAGCCUGGAUCCAGCAAUGCCGCGUGCAGGAAGAAGGCCUUCGGGUUGUAAACUGCUUUUGUACGGAACGAAACGGUCCUUUCUAAUAAAGAGGCUAAUGACGGUACCGUAAGAAGUAAGACACCGACUAACUACGUAGCCAGCAGCCGACGUAA